rnacentral:misc_RNA from 1 species
UUUCCGUAGGUGAACCUGCGGAAGGAUCAUUACCGGGUGAGGGUCUCUCAGGCCCGGCCUCCUACCCUGUGUUUUUGUGACCUUGUUGCUUUGGCGGGCCCGCCUCGAUGAGAGGCCACCGGAAGCUCACCGCUUUGGGCCCGUGCUCGUCAGUAGCCCCCUUAAAUUCUUAAUAAACCUGUCGUCUGAGUUAAUGGAUAUAAUGAAAAAAGACUUUCAACAACGGAUCUCUUGGUUCUG